UAAGUGUUUAAAAAGUACUUAAAAAGGUGCUUAUUUUUUGUUGAGAGAUUUGGCUACGCACACUGAUUAUUGGUAUUCAUAAAUUCAGCACCCAUGUUAUUGUUACUUUUGAGAAGAGUAACUUUAUUUAAUAUUUUUUGAACCUUUACAGGAAGAAUGUCAAAACUAUAUUAGAGUUUUAGCAAGGAAAUCUGAGGACACAAUUUUAGUUUGUGGUACAAAUGCCUUUAAACCUCUUUGUCGGCAUUACUUGCAGGAUGCUGAUUACACAAUGGUGAAAGAGGCUUCUGGUGAAGGUCUGUGUCCGUACGACCCGACUCACAACAGCACUGCCAUAUUUGCAGGAUCAAUUAAAGAAAGAAAAGGUAGAGUAAAUAUGUUCUGUGAUUGUGACCUUCUGUCUACCCUUAUUUCUUUGUUUAAAUUUAAUUUUUUAAAAAAAAUAAUACUAAAACUUUAUUAAUCUAUUUACAUUUUUUCAAUCUGUUUCAUUCUCCCUACCUAAACUUCUCACCCCAUCCCCAAAACACCAAGUAAAAAUACAAUCUACUUUGAAUAACUUCUGAUCUAUGUGUUUUUCUGUCUCUGUGAUCUCUUGAAUUCAUCAUUCAGU